CUUGUAGGCUUUAUACCACUUACUUUCCAAAAGCUGAAGAGUUGAAGUCUCUUUCAAUCAGAAAGGAUGAAGUGCACCAUGCUGUUCCUUGUGCUGUCGAUGGUUGUCCUCAUGGCUGAACCUGGGGAGGCCUUUAUUCACCAUAUUAUCGGUGGACUUAUUAGUGUUGGCAAACAUAUCCACGGCCUCAUCCACGGACAUGGGAAUGUCAAACAGCAACAACAGCAGCAAGAGCAGCUAAACCAACGCUCAUUUAACCGAGAACAGUUCAAACGGGAAAGGGCUGCUUUUAACUAGACUUCACCCUGAAAGACCAAGUCUAAAAUGUUUCAUUUUUGUUAAAAAGAAAUGCUUUCUGUGCUGGUUUAGCUCAGUGGGAUGAGCGGGGGACCAUAUGCCGCAUGGCUGAGAGUGACCGGUCGUGGUUCAAGUCUGACCUGCGGCCCUUUGCCGCAUAUCUUCCCCUCUCUCCCCCUGCUUUUCUGUCAGUCCUCACUCUCCCUAUCUAAUGAAGGCCAAAAAAAAAAAAUUGAAAAAGAAAUGCUUUCUGUUCUUCUGAAAAAACAAAACAAAAAAGACCUGCUUGGAUUGCCAUGGCUUCAAAAUAUGUUUGAAUCUGAUACGAGUUAAACAGACAGAGACAGUUGUUUUGAAUACAUUUUCAAUAAAGUGAAAUCUCUGGCAA